GACGAACGCUGGCGGCGUGCCUAAUACAUGCAAGUAGAACGCACAGUUUAUACCGUAGCUUGCUACACCAUAGACUGUGAGUUGCGAACGGGUGAGUAACGCGUAGGUAACCUGCCUGGUAGCGGGGGAUAACUAUUGGAAACGAUAGCUAAUACCGCAUAAUAUUGAUUAUUGCAUGAUAAUUGAUUGAAAGAUGCUAUUGCAUCACUACCAGAUGGACCUGCGUUGUAUUAGCUAGUAGGUGAGGUAACGGCUCACCUAGGCGACGGUACAUAACCGAGCUGGAGAGGAGGACGGGCACACUGGGGAUGGGAACCGGGCCCAGACCCCUCCGGGAGGAGGAAGAGGGGAAUUUCGGAAAUGGGGCGAAGUCUUGACGAAGAACGCCGGGGGGGUGGAGGAAGGCUUCCGGGCGUAAAGCUGUGUUGUUAGGGAAGGACAAGUGUGAGACUAAAAAGGUCAGACUGUGACGGUAUCUUACCAGAAAGCAACGGCUAACUACGUG
rnacentral:rRNA from 1 species